CUACGGGCGGCUCCAGUGAGGAAUAUUGCGCAAUGGGGGAAACCCUGACGCAGCAACGCCGCGUGGGUGAAGAAGGCCUUCGGGUUGUAAAGCCCUGUCAGGAGGGAAGAACAAGUUGGCGGUUAAUACCCGUCGACUCUGACGGUACCUCCAAAGGAAGCGCCGGCUAACUCCGUGCCAGCAGCCGCGGUAAUACGGAGGGCGCUAGCGUUGUUCGGAAUCAUUGGGCGUAAAGCGUGUGUAGGCGGCCGUGCAAGUUGGAUGUGAAAGCCCUUGGCUCAACCAAGGAACUGCAUUCAAAACUGCACGGCUUGAGUGCGGGAGAGGGAAGAAGAACUCCUAGUGUAGAGGUGGAAUUCGUAGAGAUUAGGAGGAAUACCCGUGGCGAAGGCGGCUUCCUGGACCGACACUGACGCUGAGACACGAAAGCGUGGGGAGCAAACAGGAUUAGAUACCCUUGUAGUC
rnacentral:rRNA from 1 species